GACGAACGCUGGCGGCGUGCUUAACACAUGCAAGUCGAACGGAAAGGCCCUGCUUUUGUGGGGUGCUCGAGUGGCGAACGGGUGAGUAACACGUGAGUAACCUGCCCUUGACUUUGGGAUAACUUCAGGAAACUGGGGCUAAUACCGGAUAGGAGCUCCUGCUGCAUGGUGGGGGUUGGAAAGUUUCGGCGGUUGGGGAUGGACUCGCGGCUUAUCAGCUUGUUGGUGGGGUAGUGGCUUACCAAGGCUUUGACGGGUAGCCGGCCUGAGAGGGUGACCGGCCCCAUUGGGACUGAGAUGCGGCACAGACUCCUACGGGAGGCAGCAGUGGGGAAUAUUGCACUAUGGGCGGAAGCCUGAUGCAGCAACGCCGCGCGCGGGAUGACGGCCUUCGGGUUGUAUACCGCUUUCGCCUGUGACGAAGCGUGAGUGACGGUAAUGGGUAAAGAAGCACCGGCUAACUACGUG
rnacentral:rRNA from 1 species